rnacentral:rRNA from 1 species
UACGAAGGGGGCUAGCGUUGUUCGGAAUUACUGGGCGUAAAGGGCGCGUAGGCGGUCCUGAUCGUCGGAUGUGAAAGGCCUGGGCUCAACCUGGGAAUGGCAUCCGAUACGGCGGGACUGGAGUGUGGGAGAGGAGAGUGGAAUUCCCAGUGUAGAGGUGAAAUUCGUAGAUAUUGGGAAGAACACCGGCGGCGAAGGCGGCUCUCUGGACCGAGACUGACGCUGAGGCGCGAAAGCGUGGGGAGCAAACAGG